rnacentral:misc_RNA from 1 species
CGCGCUGGCAGCCUCCGGCGGCCGGAUGGGCGGGAGGUCGUUCUCGUCGCCGCCGCCGGCAAGUUCGAGGAGCUAUUCGGCGCCGUCACGCGGGUCGGGGUUCUCAUACUCGGUGCCGUACUACGGGCCGUCGCCGUUCGGUGGGGGUUUCUAUCCGGCUGUGGGGUUAGGUUUUGGAGCGGGCUCGGGGUUCCUUGUGCUGAUGAUGGGGUUUGCGGCGGUGAUUUUGGUGUCGGGUUUUCUGACGGACCGGUCGGAGGGGAGUGUGAUGACGGCAACGGAGAGGACGAGUGUGCUUAAGCUGCAGGUUGGCCUACUAGGCAUGGCAAGAACCCUG